rnacentral:tRNA from 1 species
AAGACACUAGUAAAACAUUAAUUACACUGCCUUGUCAAGGCAAAGUUGUGGGUUAGACCCCCGCGUGUCUUA